rnacentral:rRNA from 1 species
GACGAAGGAUGCAAGCGUUAUCCGGAUUCAUUGGGUUUAAAGGGUGCGUAGGUGGCCUUAUAAGUCAGUGGUGAAAUCUUCGAGCUUAACUCGGAAAUUGCCAUUGAUACUGUAGGGCUUGAGUACAGUUGCUGUGGGCGGAAUAUGACAUGUAGUGGUGAAAUACAUAGAGAUGUCAUAGAACACCGAUUGCGAAGGCAGCUCACAAAACUGUAACUGACACUGAGGCUCGAAAGUGCGGGGAUCAAACAGG